rnacentral:tRNA from 1 species
AAUAUGAUAAGCUAAUUAAAGCUUUUGAGUUCAUAAUUCAAAGAUAUAUUUUUUCAUAUUA